rnacentral:rRNA from 1 species
AAAGAAACUAACGAGGAUUCCCAUAGUAACGGCGAGUGAAAUGGGAAAAGCCCAGCGCUGAAUCCAUCGAUCACUGGUCGCUUGGAAUUGUAGCGUAUAGGUGCGGCUGUCCGCUCGUUUCGUGCACCCAAAGUCCCCUUGAGCGGGGCCAUAGUCCAAAGAAGGUGCUAGACCUGUACGGGUGGCGAGACGGUCGGUUGGUCGCUCCUUGGAGUCGGGUUGCCUGGGAUCGCAGCCCAAAGUUGGUGGUAGACCUCAUCUAAGGCUAAAUAUGGCCACGAAACCGAUAGCAAACAAGUACCGUGAGGGAAAGUUGCAAAGAACUUUGAAGAGAGAGUUCAAGAGGGCGUGAAACCGCCGAGAUUGAAACGGAUAGAGUUGACGAAACUCGAUCGCAUUCAUCCGAUCCGCCUAGCGGUUCGGCGGUUGUUGACUUCCUCGAUGAGGGCAACGCCGUCGCUGGCUGUUGGGUGUUAGAUGGGUGUAUUUGCGGUCGGUAUGCGCCGAGAGCUUUGCGAACGCAUGUUGGCGUUGAUGUAGUGGACCACUCCCUUCGGGCGUGGAACCCUGCACUGACUGAGGCAUGUCGUUUGUAGGGUGUUGCUGGUUGACGUCUCCGCUAUGGUGCGUCGGCUUUGUCGGACUGUUGUGGCUACUGGGUGAUCGCAUGCGAGCGCCUGUGGUUUAUGAUCGUACGAUGAGGUGCAGACGCGCUUGAGACGUGCAUCUCGGUGUGAACGUUGACCACCUAUCCGA